GCGAGUCGAGAGGGUUUAGACCCUCGGCGAACGGCUCAUAACACGUGGAUAAUCUGCCCUAAGGACAGGGAUAACCCCGGGAAACUGGGGAUAAUACCUGAUAGGUGGGAAUGUCUGGAACGAUUCCCCGCUUAAAGCUCCGGCGCCUUAGGAUGAGUCUGCGGCUGAUUAGGUAGUUGGCGGUGUAACGGACCACCAAGCCUCAGAUCAGUACGGGCGUUGAGAGACGGAGCCCGGAGAUGGGGGCUGAGACACGGCCCCAGGCCCUACGGGGCGCAGCAGGCGCGAAAACUCCGCAAUUCGCGAAAGCGUGACGGGGGAACUCCAAGUGCUGCAGCGUUAGCUGUAGCUUUUAUAAAGUGUAAAUAUCUUUAUGAAUAAGGGCGGGGUAAGACCGGUGCCAGCCGCCGCGGUAACACCGGCCGCUCAAGUGGUGACCGCUUUUAUUGGGCCUAAAGCGUCCGUAGCCUGUCUAGUAAGUCCUUGGGUAAAUCCUGACGCUCAACGUUAGGACUUCUAGGGAUACUGCUAGACUCGAGACCGAGAGAAGUCAGAGGUACUCUUGGGGUAGCGGUGAAAUGCUGUAAUCCUGAGGGGACCACCAGUGGCGAAGGCGUCUGACUAGAGCGGGUCUGACGGUGAGGGACGAAAGCCAGGGGAGCGAACGGGAUUAGAUACCCGGGUAGUCCCAGCUGUAAACUAUGCAAACUCAGUGAUGCAUUGGCUUGAUGCCAAUGCAGUGCUGCAGGGAAGCCGUUAAGUUUGCCGCCUGGGAAGUACGUACGCAAGUAUGAAACUUAAAGGAAUUGGCGGG
rnacentral:rRNA from 1 species